rnacentral:rRNA from 1 species
GAUGAACGCUGGCGGCGUGCCUAAUACAUGCAAGUCGAGCGAACAGACGAGGAGCUUGCUCCUCUGACGUUAGCGGCGGACGGGUGAGUAACACGUGGAUAACCUUCCUAUAAUACUGGGAUAACUUCGGGGAACCGGAGCUAAUACUGGCUAAUAUAUUCAACCGCAUGGUUCAAUAGUGAAUGACGGCUUUGCUGUCUCUUAUAGCUGGAUCCGCGUCGCAUUAGCUAGUUGGUAAGGUAACGGCUUACCAAGGCAACGAAGCGUAGCCGACCUGAGAGGAUGAUCGGCCACACUGGAACUGAGACACGGUCCAGACUCCUACGGGAGGCAGCAGUGGGGAAUAUUGGACAAUGGGCGAAAGCCUGACGCAGCCACACCGCGUGGGUGAAGAAGGUCUUCGGGUUGUAAAGCCCUUUUGUUGGGAAAGAAAAGAAGCAGGUUAAUACCCCGCUGUUCUGACGGUACCCAAAGAAAAAGCACCGGCUAACUUCGUG